GGGAAUGAUGAUCUCACAGACUAGAGUCUCUGACACUGGUCCUGAUGUCAAACUUAAGUUCUGACUC